rnacentral:lncRNA from 1 species
AUCAACUUUUCACUUUACUCUCCCCAACUUUAGAUUCCAAAACCAAAUUUAUUCAAUAAUGCUCCCUACUUAGACAUAAGCAAAAGGCAAAAUUUUCAACAACUCGAUUUAAGGUUUCAAUUGACACGAAAGAAAUUAGGAUUCAUUUAUUCCACAAUUUUCAAUUGAUUUUACAAUGAUCAAUCAAAUGAAUCCUAAAAUAAGCUCAAAGGGGUUUAACUAAGGAUUAUUCCUCACAAGGUUAGUUUAUUCAAAC